GCAUUCAUUUCAAUUCCAAUAACCUAGAGAAAAUGUCAAGCAAACAAAUGAUAAUAUAAACAAGCUUCAGCAAAACUUACUAUUUUCAUUUUAAAUUUUUAAGAGCUGGAAUUUUGAGUGCUAUGGAUAGGUGAACAUAAAAAAUCCCAAUCACAAAGCAAGACUAAAACAAAUAUAUUCGGCAGAUGACCACUACCAUUCCAACACGAUGUGCUAA
rnacentral:misc_RNA from 1 species